CUCGAAUUUCAAGAAUGGGAUGGGUGGAUCUAUCCGACCUGUUGCAAAAUGUGCGUGAUAAGCUGAACAGGGUUGCUUCGAACUGGUCCAGAGAAGAGAAGGAUCAUUGUCUGGAGGAAACUGAGAAAUCAUUCAAAUAUUCUGGCGAUAUACUCCGUUUGAUAUUAUCAUAGCAAUUGAAGGUUUCUUCAGCUUGCUAAUUGUAAAAAUUACGACUGCUUUGCUGUUUCAUCCUGGAAACAACACUAAUAAGUUCACUCCAUGUAUUGAAUUAAUGUACGCUAAAUGCUGUUCAUAUCUAUAGUUAAGACUGUUCAUAUCCA